UACGGAGGGGGCUAGCGUUGUUCGGAAUUACUGGGCGUAAAGCGCGCGCAGGCGGUCUUCCAAGUCAGUGGUGAAAGCCCGGAGCUCAACUCCGGAAUUGCCAUUGAAACUGUUAGACUUGAGGAUGAGAGAGGUGAGUGGAAUUCCCAGUGUAGAGGUGAAAUUCGUAGAUAUUGGGAAGAACACCGGUGGCGAAGGCGGCUCACUGGCUCAUUACUGACGCUCAGGCGCGAUAGCGUGGGGAUCAAACAGG
rnacentral:rRNA from 1 species